rnacentral:rRNA from 1 species
CAGGAUGAACGCUGGCGGCGUGCUUAACACAUGCAAGUCGAACGAAGCCAAAAGGAAGCUUGCUUCUUGAAGCUUAGUGGCGGACGGGUGAGUAACGCGUGAGGAACCUGCCCUUCAGUGGGGAAUAACAGCCGGAAACGACUGCUAAUACCGCAUAACGUCGAAGUGCCGCAUGACAUUUCGACCAAAGGAUUUAUUCGCUGAAGGAUGGCCUCGCGUCCGAUUAGGCAGUUGGUGAGGUAACGGCCCACCAAACCUACGAUCGGUAGCCGAACUGAGAGGUUGAUCGGCCACAUUGGGACUGAGACACGGCCCAGACUCCUACGGGAGGCAGCAGUGGGGAAUAUUGGGCAAUGGGCGAAAGCCUGACCCAGCAACGCCGCGUGAAGGAUGACGGUCUUCGGAUUGUAAACUUCUUUGAUUGGGGAAGAACAAAAUGACCUACCCAAAGAACAAGUCACGGCUAACUACGUGCCAGCAGCCGC